CUUCAGGGCAGGGUGCAAUUCCCGACCGGCGGUAAACCCCGCGAGCCAAAUUUGGCUGAACUGGUGAAAUUCCAGUGGCGACAGUACAGUCUGGAUGAAAGAAUGU
rnacentral:ncRNA from 1 species